AAGUCAGAUGUGAAAGCCCCGGGCUCAACCUGGGAACUGCAUUUCAAACUGGCAAACUAGAGUGUGAUAGAGGGUGGUGGAAUUUCAGGUGUAGCGGUGAAAUGCGUAGAGAUCUGAAGGAAUACCGAUGGCGAAGGCAGCCACCUGGGUCAACACUGACGCUCAUGUACGAAAGCGUGGGGAGCAAACAGGAUUAGAUACCCUGGUAGUCCACGCCGUAAACGAUGUCUACUAGAAGCUCGGAACCUCGGUUCUGUUUUUCAAAGCUAACGCAUUAAGUAGACCGCCUGGGGAGUACGGCCGCAAGGUUAAAACUCAAAUGAAUUGACGG
rnacentral:rRNA from 1 species